GACGAACGCUGGCGGCGUGCUUAACACAUGCAAGUCGAACGGAAAGGCCCUGCUUUUGUGGGGUGCUCGAGUGGCGAACGGGUGAGUAACACGUGAGUAACCUGCCCUUGACUUUGGGAUAACUUCAGGAAACUGGGGCUAAUACCGGAUAGGAGCUCCUGCUGCAUGGUGGGGGUUGGAAAGUUUCGGCGGUUGGGGAUGGACUCGCGGCUUAUCAGCUUGUUGGUGGGGUAGUGGCUUACCAAGGCUUUGACGGGUAGCCGGCCUGAGAGGGGGACCGGCCACAUUGUGACUGAGGUACGGCCCAGACUCCUACGGGAGGCAGCAGUGGGGAAUAUUGCACAAUGGGCGGAAGCCUGAUGCAGCAACGCCGCGUGCGGGAUGACGGCCUUCGGGUUGUAAACCGCUUUCGCAUGUGACGAAGCGUGAGUGACGGUAAUGGGUAAAGAAGCACCGGCUAACUACGUG
rnacentral:rRNA from 1 species